rnacentral:lncRNA from 1 species
AGGAGAGCUAGUGCUGGAUGAAAUCAGACACCAUGUAUCUCACAGGAGAUCCUACUCCACACAUACAUGUGUACUGCAACAUUUCCCCUUCGUGGAUAUCCUGGAACCCAGGGCUCCCAAGGAGGGUGUAGGGUUGUACAAAGGGACUCCUGACAGGAAGACUUGCUUUCCCUCCAACUUCCUUUGCAUCUUUUUUCCUGCUGAAGUAUGUGGUUUUGCUAGUCCUGGAGUCUUUCCCUUCUCCAUCCUGGGGCAGGCCCCACCCCAGGGAUCAAGACUUGCUUCCAGAAGGCCCGAAUCAUCACAAAUUAUCACUAGGCAAUAACCAAAAGACAGAUUUGCAAUUCUCAGGAGAAGGGUGCUGAGUGAGAGGAGAGGUUGGUGUCCUUGCAAUGACUGGAGGGUAUUGGAGAUUGAACGCAGUACCUGUGCACUAAGCUACAUCCCAAGUCCUUUUUUAAAAUUUUGAGACAUGGACUUGAUAAGUUGUUAAUUUGCCCAGGCCAGGCCUGAACCUACUUAUCCUCUUGCUUCAGCCUCCCGGAGUGUUGGGACUACAGG